GACAGAGGGGGCAAGCGUUGCUCGGAAUUACUGGGCGUAAAGGGCGCGUAGGCGGGAUGGCAAGUCGGUCGUGAAAUCCCUCGGCUCAACUGAGGAUCGUCGAUCGAUACUGCUGUUCUUGGGGAUUGCAGAGGAGACUGGAAUUCCCGGUGUAGCGGUGGAAUGUGUAGAGAUCGGGAGGAACACCGGUGGCGAAGGCGGGUCUCUGGGCAAUUCCUGACGCUGAGGCGCGAAAGCGUGGGGAGCAAACGGG
rnacentral:rRNA from 1 species